rnacentral:rRNA from 1 species
AGUGAACGCUGGCGGUAGGCCUAACACAUGCAAGUCGAACGGCAGCACAGUAAGAGCUUGCUCUUACGGGUGGCGAGUGGCGGACGGGUGAGGAAUACAUCGGAAUCUACUUUUUCGUGGGGGAUCACGUAGGGAAACUUACGCUAAUACCGCAUACGACCUACGGGUGAAAGCAGGGGAUCUUCGGGCCUUGCGCGAUUGAAUGAGCCGAUGUCGGAUUAGCUAGUUGGCGGGGUAAAGGCCCACCAAGGCGACGAUCCGUAGCUGGUCUGAGAGGAUGAUCAGCCACACUGGAACUGAGACACGGUCCAGACUCCUACGGGAGGCAGCAGUGGGGAACAUUGGACAAUAGGCGCAAGCCUGAUCCAGCCAUACCGCGUGGGUGAAGAAGGCCUUCGGGUUGUAAAGCCCUUUUGUUGGGAAAGAAAAGCAGCAGGUUAAUACCCCGCUGUUCUGACGGUACCCAAAGAAUAAGCACCGGCUAACUUCGUG